rnacentral:rRNA from 1 species
GGUAGCACAGAGGAGCUUGCUCCUUGGGUGACGAGCGGCGGACGGGUGAGUAAAGUCUGGGGAUCUGCCUGAUGGAGGGGGAUAACUACUGGAAACGGUAGCUAAUACCGCAUGACGUCUUCGGACCAAAGUGGGGGACCUUCGGGCCUCACGCCAUGAGAUGAACCCAGAUGGGAUUAGCUGGUAGGUGAGGUAACGGCUCACCUAGGCGACGAUCCCUAGCUGGUCUGAGAGGAUGACCAGCCACACUGGAACUGAGACACGGUCCAGACUCCUACGGGAGGCAGCAGUGGGGAAUAUUGCACAAUGGGGGAAACCCUGAUGCAGCCAUGCCGCGUGUGUGAAGAAGGCCUUCGGGUUGUAAAGCACUUUCAGCGGGGAGGAAGGCAAUAAACUUAAUAAGUUUGUUGAUUGACGUUACCCGCAGAAGAAGCACCGGCUAACUCCGUGCCAGCAGCCGCGGUAAUACGGAGGGUGCAAGCGUUAAUCGGAAUGACUGGGCGUAAAGCGCACGCAGGCGGUCUGUUAAGUUGGAUGUGAAAUCCCCGGGCUCAACCCGGGAACAGCAUUCAAAACUGACAGGCUAGAGUCUCGUAGAGGGGGGUAGAAUUCCAGGUGUAGCGGUGAAAUGCGUAGAGAUCUGGAGGAAUACCGGUGGCGAAGGCGGCCCCCUGGACGAAGACUGACGCUCAGGUGCGAAAGCGUGGGGAGCAAACAGGAUUAGAUACCCUGGUAGUCCACGCCGUAAACGAUGUCGACUUGGAGGCUGUGGUCUUGAACCGUGGCUUCCGGAGCUAACGCGUUAAGUCGACCGCCUGGGGAGUACGGCCGCAAGGUUAAAACUCAAAUGAAUUGACGGGGGCCCGCACAAGCGGUGGAGCAUGUGGUUUAAUUCGAUGCAACGCGAAGAACCUUACCUACUCUUGACAUCCAGAGAAGACUGUAGAGAUACGGUUGUGCCUUCGGGAGCUCUGAGACAGGUGCUGCAUGGCUGUCGUCAGCUCGUGUUGUGAAAUGUUGGGUUAAGUCCCGCAACGAGCGCAACCCUUAUCCUUUGUUGCCAGCGAUACGGUCGGGAACUCAAAGGAGACUGCCGGUGAUAAACCGGAGGAAGGUGGGGAUGACGUCAAGUCAUCAUGGCCCUUACGAGUAGGGCUACACACGUGCUACAAUGGCGCAUACAAAGAGAAGCGAGCCUGCGAGGGUGAGCGGACCUCAUAAAGUGCGUCGUAGUCCGGAUUGGAGUCUGCAACUCGACUCCAUGAAGUCGGAAUCGCUAGUAAUCGUAGAUCAGAAUGCUACGGUGAAUACGUUCCCGGGCCUUGUACACACCGCCCGUCACACCAUGGGAGUGGGUUGCAAAAGAAGUAGGUAGC